rnacentral:rRNA from 1 species
CAGCCGCCGCGGUAAUACAGAGGGUGCGAGCGUUAAUCGGAUUUACUGGGCGUAAAGCGUGCGUAGGCGGCUUCUUAAGUCGGAUGUGAAAUCCCUGAGCUUAACUUAGGAAUUGCAUUCGAUACUGGGAAGCUAGAGUAUGGGAGAGGAUGGUAGAAUUCCAGGUGUAGCGGUGAAAUGCGUAGAGAUCUGGAGGAAUACCGAUGGCGAAGGCAGCCAUCUGGCCUAAUACUGACGCUGAGGUACGAAAGCAUGGGGAGCAAACAGGAUUAGAUACCCCUGUAGUCCCUGUCCCUUAUAC